rnacentral:rRNA from 1 species
GUCCAGACUCCUACGGGAGGCAGCAGUGAGGAAUAUUGGUCAAUGGGCGAGAGCCUGAACCAGCCAAGUCGCGUGAGGGAAGACGGUCCUAUGGAUUGUAAACCUCUUUUGUCGGGGAGCAAAAAGGCCUCGUGAGGCCACAAGUGAGAGUACCCGAAGAAAAAGCAUCGGCUAACUCCGUGCCAGCAGCCGCGGUAAUACGGAGGAUGCGAGCGUUAUUCGGAUUUAUUGGGUUUAAAGGGUGCGUAGGCGGGCAUUUAAGCCGGCGGUCAAAUGUCGGGGCUCAACCCCGGCCUGCCGUCGGAACUGGGUGCCUUGAGUGGGCGAGAAGUAUGCGGAAUGCGUGGUGUAGCGGUGAAAUGCAUAGAUAUCACGCAGAACCCCGAUUGCGAGGGCAGCAUACCGGCGCCCUACUGACGCUGAGGCACGAAAGUGCGGGUAUCGAACAGGAUUAGAUACCCCUGUAGG